rnacentral:rRNA from 1 species
UGAGUAACGGCGAGCGAAAAGGGAAGAGCCCAGCGCCGAAUCCCCGGCCUUCCGGUCGAGGGAAAUGUGGCGUUAGGGAGUGAGCGUGUCGGGUUCGGAAGCGGCGGCAAGUCCCCCUGACCGGGGCCUGUCCGUAGCGGGUGCGAGGCCCAUAGCCGCCGCGGCCGUCUCGAAUGCGAUCUCCUCGGAGUCGGGUUGCUUGGGAGUGCAGCCCCAAUAGGGUGGUAAACUCCACCUAAGGCUAAAUACCGCCGUGAGACCGAUAGCAAACAAGUACCGUGAGGGAAAGUUGCAAAGAACUUUGAAGAGAGAGUUCAAGAGUACGUGAAACUGCUCAGAGGUAAACGGGUGGGCCCUCGAAAUCCUGUGGCGAGAGGAUUCAGUCUGGGUCGGCGGACGGCCGGUCGGGAGAAUCGUCGGUAGGGCUUCCGCCGAGCGCGGGCCGCCCUUCCGGUCGACGCCGUCCGACGCAGACGCAUUUGACUCUCGUCCCGAGGACGCUGCAGCCGGUCCGGAAGUGCAAGCGUGACGGCCUGAGGGUCGGGAGACGGCAGGUGGCCGGUGGCGCGCUCCGUGCGAGUCGCCGGUUGUUAGCCUUCCCGACGGUGGCACGUCUCCGGACCGUGGUGUCGCGAGGCCCCUCAGGGGACUCCUCGUCUCCGCCCAUCAGUGCCGCGGGACAGAACCUGGCCGGGAUCUUGGGCGCCGACUGCCGCACUCCUCCGGAGUGGGCGGACGGGCCGCGGAGAACCUACACGCCGGGUCGGACCCGCGGGGGAUCGGAGGCUCGCAGCGAGUAGGUCGGUCACCCACCCGACCCGUCUUGAAACACGGACCAAGGAGUCCGACAGGUGCGCGAGUCAGUGGGUCUUGAACAGGCCCACGGGCGCAAUGAAAGCGAAGGGCGACCGAGCGUCGCCCGAGCGGGGAUCCCCCGGACUCCAGUUCCGGGGGCGCACUCGCGACCCGUCCCGUCCGGUCCGCCGGUGGGGCGGCGUUUGAGCGCACCCGUCGGGACCCGAAAGAUGGUGAACUAUGCCCGGGCAGGACGAGGCCAGAGGAAACUCUGGUGGAGGUCCGCAGCG